rnacentral:rRNA from 1 species
UACGUAGGGGGCAAGCGUUGUCCGGAUUCAUUGGGCGUAAAGAGCGUGUAGGCGGCCAGGUAGGUCGGUUGUGAAAACUGGAGGCUCAACCUUCAGACGUCGACCGAAACCAUCUGGCUAGAGUCCGGGAGAGGAGAGUGGAAUUCCUGGUGUAGCGGUGAAAUGCGCAGAUAUCAGGAGGAACACCUGUGGUGUAGACAGCUUGCUGGACCAUCACUGACGCUGAGGCACGAAAGCGUGGGUAGCAAACAGG